CUACGGGGUGCUGCAGUGGGGAAUAUUGCACAAUGGGCGAAAGCCUGAUGCAGCAACGCCGCGUGAGCGAUGAAGGCCUUCGGGUCGUAAAGCUCUGUCCUCAAGGAAGAAUUUUGACGGUACUUGAGGAGGAAGCCCCGGCUAACUACGUGCCAGCAGCCGCGGUAAUACGUAGGGGGCUAGCGUUAUCCGGAAUUACUGGGCGUAAAGGGUGCGUAGGUGGUCUGACAAGCCAGAGGUGAAAGGCUACGGCUCAACCGUAGUAAGCCUUUGAAACUGUCGGACUUGAGUGCAGGAGAGGAAAGUGGAAUUCCCAGUGUAGCGGUGAAAUGCGUAGAUAUUGGGAGGAACAUCAGUGGCGAAGGCGACUUUCUGGACUGUAACUGACACUGAGGCACGAAAGCGUGGGGAGCAAACAGGAUUAGAUACCCUAGUAGUC
rnacentral:rRNA from 1 species